AUAGGAGAGAAUCUCUUGUCCUCCUUCAUCACCCUGUCUGCCAGUGAAAUGCAGAAACUAGGGGAGUGGAUGUAUACGCCUUCACAGGGAUAAAGAAAUCCCUCAGUGCUUCAGCUGCAGUAUUUCCUGAAUCCAAGAAGUAACCUGUAGAUCACCAACUGGAAAAAAUGACCAAUUAAAAUAAAACCAAAGCAUACUAGAUUUUCCACUUGA